AUCGACACUCUGGAAAGCGGAUGGGCGCCCCCGGGACACCGGACGGGACGGUCAUCCCACCGAAGGGGUAAGCCGGAUCGCCUCAGAUCCGGCGAAAGCUCUCAGGUUCCGUGACAGAGGGGGCAAU
rnacentral:ncRNA from 2 species